rnacentral:lncRNA from 1 species
GUUUUAAGACAUGGCUUAGUUAUGCCAGCCCUGUUUCCCAAAGCUUCAUCUACCAUGGGAAAGAUUAAAACAUGUGAAAUGAAGAAUUUAGAGCCACCCCUUGUAAAAGAGACCUCAGAGAGCUCUUCAGCCCCAUUCACCAUGUGAGGACCCAAUGAGAAGUUCUCAUCUACGAGGAAGCAUGACUUCCCGUAGACACUGAUCUGCUCAUGUCCUGAUGGGGAACUUCCUGGCCUCCAGAACUGUAAGCAAUAAAUUUUUGUUGUCUAUUCUCCACC